UACAGAGGUCUCAAGCGUUGUUCGGAUUCAUUGGGCGUAAAGGGUGCGUAGGCGGCGCGGUAAGUCGGGUGUGAAAUUUCGAGGCUUAACUUCGAAACUGCAUUCGAUACUGCCGUGCUUGAGGACUGGAGAGGAGACUGGAAUUUACGGUGUAGCGGUGAAAUGCGUAGAUAUCGUAAGGAAGACCAGUGGCGAAGGCGGGUCUCGUGGA
rnacentral:rRNA from 1 species